CAGGUGAGGUCCAAGGAUAAUAGAAGAGUUGUAGCUUGCAAGAGUGCUUGUUUUGCUUUCAAUUCGCCAAGGUAUUGCUGCACAGGGAGCUUUGGAAGUCCUCAAUCUUGCAAGCCAACUGCCUGCUUAUUCCAGGAUUUUUAAGGCAGCUUGCCCCAACGCUUAUUCCUAUGCCUACGAUGACCCUACAAGCAUUGCUACCUGCACUCGUGGGAGCUAUUUGGUCACUUUCUGCCCUCACCUUAUCAUUAGUAGUUAACUAAAUUUGGGUUUUAGAGUUUAUUAAUUGGGUGUAUUGAUUUGUUCUGCAAUCUGCAGUGUACUUUCAUAGAGAC
rnacentral:misc_RNA from 1 species